UUCUCACGUGUUCAACCCAAAAAUGAUUGGAAACCUAAGUAGGCUACAUGUUCAUCUUCAGAUCAUCAAGACUAAGAGUAUUGCGGUGAAGUAAACAAACAUUAGAGAGAAAAGGAAGGCUGGUGAGGGUGAAUCGAGAACAGAGACCGGUAUUUCAGUCGUGCAAGCCUCUUAAGCCCAAAUCUGUGACAGGGGGAGGUUGACCGGCGUUGGCCGUUCAACUAGUGGUAGUCCUUCUCACUAUAAAUUGGGCUAUGGUUUUCCCCGGAGCCCAUCACUGACUACGAACGACUCUGGGAAGCCAUCAUAUGUCUCACAUACACGUAGCCUUUUUGAUUUAUCGAUGAUCGGUCUGAUUGAUUUAUAAAUCAGGUGUAGCAUGAUUCAACACUCGUCUGAUUACUAGCGUUAUUGUUACUACUCACUAGAUUAUUCUUGGGUUUUUUAAUCUGAUUUGAUAGUUUGAUUUCUGACGUUCACGUUAAGAUCUGAGUUUCUUAGCUUAAAACCUUACAAGAUGCUAUCGGUUUCUAGCUUAUGAUUUAAACAUAAUUAGUUUAGAGUAAUUGCAGAUUAGAAUAAUGUAUAAAAUAACAAAAUCAAGUUAAAAAUGAGUACCUUAAUUUGGUUGAAUUUAAGCUAAACAAUGAUGUUUCUUUGAUCUACUUUUUGCGUUAAAUCUUGUAUGUUAAAUUUUUUUGCAGAGGAGAAUAAUCACGCAUUCUGCUAUGGCUCCCACUUUAGCUGGACUCAAGAAGCUAAUCUUUUGUACAACUUAUUAUUCUAAAGCCCUUGUGGUAGUUUCGCCACUAAAUGCUCCGGAAUACUCUCAGAAAAGCUGCUCAUGGAUAGAAGCUGAUUAUUGAUCCUCGUCUGACUGAAGAAGAGGCUAAAUGGUUGCGAUUUGAUAUUGAUAAACCUGCUUAGACUGAUCUUCAAUGGUGGUGAAUGACAAGGGAAUGUUCAUCCCGGCUAUUGAAUGACAAGGCACUGAAGAACAGAAAAAGAAAUGGUUGUCGUUGGCUCAAAAAAUGCAAAUUAUUGGCUGUUACGCACAAACUGAACUUGAUUAUGGCUCCAGUGUACAAGGUCUACAAAUAACCGCAACAUUUGAUCCCUAAACAAGGUGUUCUGUGUUUACCAAAUAAUCACAUAGGAAGUUUACAAAUUGACGUUGUUUGUCAUAAGGAGAUUGAUUGCUAAGAAGUUUAUGCGUGGAGAUGUUAAGACUGGAGCUUCAACGUGUUUAUUAGUGUACACAAUUAUUUAUAUAACGUUGUAGUUAUAGUUGUUACUCGGAUUUUGAUGACGAAAGAAGUAUGAUAAGCUUAAACA